rnacentral:rRNA from 1 species
UACGUAGGGGGCUAGCGUUGUCCGGAAUCAUUGGGCGUAAAGAGCGUGUAGGCGGCCCGGUAAGUCCGCUGUGAAAGUCGGGGGCUCAACCCUCGAAUGCCGGUGGAUACUGUCGGGCUAGAGUGCGGAAGAGGCGAGUGGAAUUCCUGGUGUAGCGGUGAAAUGCGCAGAUAUCAGGAAGAACACCCGUGGCUAAGGCGGUUCUCUAGUACGGUACUGACGCUGAGACGCGAAAGCGUGGGGAGCGAACAGG